CCUACGGGUGGCUGCAGUGGGGAAUAUUGGACAAUGGGCGCAAGCCUGAUCCAGCCAUGCCGCGUGAGUGAUGAAGGCCUUCGGGUUGUAAAGCUCUUUUGGCGGGGACGAUGAUGACGGUACCCGCAGAAUAAGCCCCGGCAAACUUCGUGCCAGCAGCCGCGGUAAGACGAAGGGGGCAAGCGUUGUUCGGAAUUACUGGGCGUAAAGGGCGCGUAGGCGGCCGCUUUAGUCAGGUGUGAAAGCCCUGGGCUCAGCCUGGGAAUUGCACUUGAUACUGGGUGGCUAGAGAGCGGGAGAGGAUGGUGGAAUUCCCAGUGUAGAGGUGAAAUUCGUAGAUAUUGGGAAGAACACCGGUGGCGAAGGCGGCCAUCUGGACCGUAUCUGACGCUGAGGCGCGAAAGCGUGGGGAGCAAACAGGAUUAGAUACCCCAGUAGUC
rnacentral:rRNA from 1 species